AUUCAGAACCGCCAUCUUGCUAUUCGUACGGCACAUCCUCCCCUUUUCAAUUUGCACGGAGAGGGUUUCAAGGCCGUAAAAAGGGUCGCCCGGCCCUCACAUUCAGUUUCAGUGGCGAAAGGCACGCUGAAUUUGCAGCCAUGUCAAAACAAAGCAUAAUGGACCGCGUAACAGCGGCGAAACACAGCCUGGCAGGGCAAGGAUUGGCCAAGGUUGUAUGUAAAGCUACGACAGAAGAGGUGAUGGGCCCUAAGAAGAAACAUUUAGACUACUUAAUACAGUGUACCAAUGAACCCAAUGUCUCAAUCCCACAACUCGCAGACUUACUCAUUGAGCGCACUCAGCAACAGAGCUGGGUCAUCGUCUUCAAAGCCCUCAUCACAACUCACAAUCUCAUGAACUAUGGAAAUGAGAGAUUCACCCAGUAUCUGGCCUCUAAUAAUUGUUCCUUUAACCUUGGUCAGUUUAUUGAUAAACAGGGAGUUCAAGGUUAUGACAUGUCAACAUUCAUACGACGAUAUUCCAAAUAUUUAAAUGAAAAGGCUGUUUCCUACAGACAAAUGGCGUUUGAUUUUUGCAAAGUCAAAAGAGGCAAAGAUGAUGGAUUGCUGAGAACAAUGAAUGCAGACAAGCUUUUGAAGACCCUGCCAGCCCUACAGAAACAGCUGGACUCGUUGCUAGAGUUUGAUUGUGCUCCCAAUGAGCUCACCAACGGGGUCAUCAACGCCUGCUUCCUCCUGAUGUUCAAGGAUCUGAUUCGUCUCUUUGCCUGUUACAAUGACGGAAUUAUUAACCUACUAGAGAAAUACUUUGAUAUGAAUAAAAAGCAAUGUAAGGAUGCAUUAGAAAUUUACAAGAGGUUUCUGGUCAGGAUGGACAAGGUCUCCGAAUUCCUGAAGACAGCUGAGAGUGUUGGUAUUGACAAGAGUGAUAUUCCUGACCUAGCCAAGGCCCCAUCUAGUCUCCUUGAUGCCUUAGAACAGCAUUACCAGUCCCUGGAAGGGAAGAAAGGGGUGACAACUCCUGUCAGUGGCUCAAAACCCAUGGUGUUUGGCAUGCAACCUGCCAUGGGAAACAUGAUGUCACAGCCGCGUCCACCCGCACAAACCAAUCAGGAUCCAUUCGGAGCGUUAUGAGAUUCCAUUAGUAACCAUAAUUCAGGGAGUCGUAGUCAAAUGAGUGUUUGUGAACCAGAAAUAGGCAGGGAUCAAGAAUGUGUGUCAUCACCAUGGCAACCAUCAACUUCAACAUUCCUAUUCAAUCCAUAUCUGAUCUAUGCAUGUGAAAAAAAAAUACACUACAAAAUUUGAUUGAAUCUGACAGGGACAGAACAAUAUCAAUUACAUCACAGUGACAAUAAGAGGUCAAGAAUAAAAACACUUGACCUUUGACCCCACCAGUUGUAGAAUGACAAACUCCACUCAUGAAAUUAUAAGCCUAGUCAUUCAGUGGUGCAAUCUUAAGUAACUGUGGUGAUUGUGAAGUAAGCGACUGAAGCACUACCUUUUAUCUUAUUGGAAAUGGUACCACUCAGUUUUAAUCAAUGUUUAUAAAAUCUUCUUGUUAUCAACAAGUUGAAUUUCAAAUUUGUUCUAGAAAAUCUAGAUUGUAAAUAAUCAUGAGGGAAGUGAAUGAGAUUGAAAGAAUGGUUGUGUUUAUUUUCUGUUGGCAUGGUAACUGUGUUGCCAUGAUUUUGUUAUGGUGAUUAUCUGACAUGAUGACUUCUUAGAUGUAUUCAUUUAGGUUGUUUCUUUCUGAAAUGUGCAGGCUUAUCAUGAUUUUACAGACACUAUGAGGACCUUCAGAAGAUAUAUAUUGGCAGUGUGUUUAUUAGAUAGUUGUAUUUAUUUGGAAUUAAGCACACAAUGUAUUGAAUGGUAGAUGGCUGUUCCUUUGUACACCCUUGUAAGAAUUACUGUAUGAGUGCUAAGCAAAUUUCACUGUUAUGUUUAUUUGUUACAUGUGUAUCGUAUGUGUUAUUGUAAAGUCAAUGGGAAGUAUUCUUAUUUGUUGAAGUUUCCUGGCCUAAUAAUGCCAAGAAAACAUUUAAAAUCAUUAAUACACACAUAUAGUAUAUAUCCAUGUAUUAUUCAGUGUUGUAAGGACCAUUAUAGAACUGUAUGGGCUGAUUUUCACAGAUGACGGGAUACACACAGUGUAUAGGGGCAGUUUUUAGUCCUUGGCACACUAUUGUAUGCAUGGAAGUUGCCAGCAUCACUUGUUUCCAAAUUGUGUUUGAAACAUGACACAUUCCAAACCCAGCUUCUGUCUAUGUGAUAAUACAACUGUAUAAAUUGCCCCGCUCUGACGGCACAGAAAACUUUAUCAAAGUAUUAAUGAUGCACAAGUGUUAAUGACUUCUCAGAACAAAAAAACAGAUUUUUUUUCAUGUGGAAUACCUAAGGCAUUUUGAAGUUACAUUUAUUAGAAGCAAUUGUAAAAACAAAUGGGAAAAUGUCUGCUAGCAAAGCAGAAAGUUGCAAAAGCUUACAUGUAACAAUUCAUGAAUUGGUUAUUCAGGGGGAAAGUUGGUAUAUUCUCGUAGUAUAUAUAGACAAGGAGAAAUUGAUAAGAGUCAAAAUUGACGAUUUUACAGUAUUUUUGUUUCACAUUAUUCUUGAAAUCAAAAAUAGCACCUCAGCUUUAUAAGUUUCAAUUUGAAAAAAAAGACAGAAUUUAAGCCAUGUUGCUGUGUGGAAUCUCUGAUGACAAUCAGCCAAUAUUGAAUGACUGAUCAUGCCAUAAAUCUAUGUGAUAACAUGUCAGCCGUGUGGAGUACAUUAUAUACAAUCUGUGACUUUGGUAGGAAACUGUUUCUGUUGACCAGAUGUAGUAGUUCCUCUAGACACAAUAAACUCAUGCUGCAUCUCC
rnacentral:misc_RNA from 1 species